AUUGAACGCUGGCGGCAUGCCUUACACAUGCAAGUCGAACGGUAACAGGUCUUCGGAUGCUGACGAAUGGCGAACGGGUGAGUAAUACAUCGGAACGUGCCUAGUAGUGGGGGAUAACUACUCGAAAGAGUGGCUAAUACCGCAUGAGAUCUACGGAUGAAAGCAGGGGAUCGCAAGACCUUGCGCUACGAGAGCGGCCGAUGGCAGAUUAGGUAGUUGGUGGGAUAAAAGCUUACCAAGCCGACGAUCUGUAGCUGGUCUGAGAGGACGAUCAGCCACACUGGGACUGAGACACGGCCCAGAAUCCUACGGGAGGCAGCAGUGGGGAAUUUUGGACAAUGGGCGCAAGCCUGAUCCAGCAAUGCCGCGUGCAGGAUGAAGGCCUUCGGGUUGUAAACUGCUUUUGUACGGAACGAAAAGCCCUGGGUUAAUACCCUGGGGUCAUGACGGUACCGUAAGAAUAAGCACCGGCUAACUACGUGCCAGCCGCCGCAGUAAUAC
rnacentral:rRNA from 1 species